rnacentral:rRNA from 1 species
GGCGAACGGGUGAGUAACACGUGGGUAAUCUGCCCUGCACUCUGGGAUAAGCCUGGGAAACUGGGUCUAAUACUGGAUAUGACCUUUCUCCUUAUGGGGUUUGGUGGAAAGUUUUUCGGUGUAGGAUGAGCCCGCGGCCUAUCAGCUUGUUGGUGGGGUGAUGGCCUACCAAGGCGACGACGGGUAGCCGGCCUGAGAGGGUGAUCGGCUACAUUGGGACUGAGAUACGGCCCAG